AGACUUACACCAGUGGCCCCAGUUUUCAGGCUUCUGACAGAGUUGCAUCAUUGGCUUCAGACCCAGCUGAAUUCCACACCAAUUUCCUGGUUCUCCAGCCUACAGAUGGCAGAUUAAGGGAUUCCUCGGCCUCCAUGAGCACAUGAGCCAAUUUUCUAGCAGAUGCAUUGAUUUAUAUUUCUUUAUGGAACUGUAUCUUCCUAUUCUGUUAUUUUUCACUUUGAGUAAAAAUUAAUUGUCUUGUUUAACCAAAAACACGACGGAGAGAAGGGAGAAAGGGAAAAGGGAAAGUGGCAGGCUGGGGAAACCAUCACCUGGGGAUUAUUUUAAAAAUACUGGUUUCCAAACCCCACUGAGAAAUAUUAAAUUACAGUCAGUUUAGAGGCAGAACCCAGGAAAUGAAUGAUUUUUGAUGCUCUUCAGGAGAGUCUAACAUGC
rnacentral:lncRNA from 10 species